rnacentral:rRNA from 1 species
UUGACCGCCUGGGGAGUACGGCCGCAAGGUUAAAACUCAAAGGAAUUGACGGGGACCCGCACAAGCGGUGGAUGAUGUGGAUUAAUUCGAUGCAACGCGAAGAACCUUACCUACCCUUGACAUGCCAGGGAGCCCGCUGAGAGGUGGGUGUGCCCGAAAGGGAGCCUGGACACAGGUGCUGCAUGGCUGUCGUCAGCUCGUGUCGUGAGAUGUUGGGUUAAGUCCCGCAACGAGCGCAACCCUUGUCACUAGUUGCUACGCAAGGGCACUCUAGUGAGACUGCCGGUGACAAACCGGAGGAAGGUGGGGAUGACGUCAAGUCCUCAUGGCCCUUAUGGGUAGGGCUUCACACGUCAUACAAUGGCGCAUACAGAGGGCUGCCAACCCGCGAGGGGGAGCCAAUCCCAGAAAGUGCGUCGUAGUCCGGAUUGCAGUCUGCAACUCGACUGCAUGAAGUCGGAAUCGCUAGUAAUCGCGGAUCAGCAAUGUCGCGGUGAAUACGUUCCCGGGUCUUGUACACACCGCCCGUCACACCAUGGGAGUGGGUUUCACCAGAAGCCGGUUGCCUAACCUCGCGAGAGGGGGGCGCUGACCACGGUGAGAUUCAU